GGAAAAGAAACCAACAGGGAUUGCCCUAGUAACGGCGAGUGAAGCGGCAACAGCUCAAAUUUGAAAUCUGGCCUUACGGUCCGAAUUGUAAUUUGUAGAGGAUGCUUUGGGCGCGGUGCCUUCCGAGUUCCUUGGAACAGGACGCCUUAGAGGGUGAGAGCCCCGUACGGUUGGACACCAAGCCUAUGUAAAGCUCCUUCGACGAGUCGAGUAGUUUGGGAAUGCUGCUCUAAAUGGGAGGUAAAUUUCUUCUAAAGCUAAAUACCGGCCAGAGACCGAUAGCGCACAAGUAGAGUGAUCGAAAGAUGAAAAGUACUUUGAAAAGAGGGUUAAAUAGCACGUGAAAUUGUUGAAAGGGAAGCAUUUAUGACCAGACCUUUGCUAGGCGGAUCAUCCGGUGUUCUUCACCGGUGCACUUCGUCUAGCUUAGGCCAGCAUCGAUUUCUGUAGGGGGAUAAAGGUCUAGGGAACGUAGCUCUCUCCGGAGAGUGUUAUAGCCCUAGGCGCAAUACCUUUACGGGGAUCGAGGUUCGCGCUUCGGCAAGGAUGCUGGCAUAAUGGUCAUCAAUGACCCGUCUUGAAACACGGACCAAGGAGUCGAACAUUUAUGCGAGUGUUUGGGUGUUAAACCCUCACGCGUAAUGAAAGUGAACGGAGGUGAGAGCCCUUAAGGGUGCAUCAUCGACCGAUCCUGAUGUCUUCGGAUGGAUUUGAGUAAGAGCAUAACUGUUCGGACCCGAAAGAUGGUGAACUAUGCGUGGAUAGGGUGAAGCCAGAGGAAACUCUGGUGGAGGCUCGCAGCGGUUCUGACGUGCAAAUCGAUCGUCAAAUCUGCGCAUGGGGGCGAAAGACUUAUCGAACCAUCUAG
rnacentral:rRNA from 1 species